rnacentral:lncRNA from 10 species
UGGAGGCGGCGCCGGAGGAGACCCGCGGGGCCCAGGCCCCACCCUGACCCCGCCUCCCGCUCGCCCACGCAGCGCUCUACCGGGAAUACCGCACUCUGAAGCGUACCACGGGCCAGGCCGGCGGCGGGCUCCGCAGCUCCGAGUCGCUCCCCGCGGCGGCCGAAGAGGCGCCAGAGCCCCGCUGCUGGGGGCCCCAUCUGAAUCGGGCUGCGACCAAGAGUCCACAGUCUACGCCAGGGCGGAGCCGCCAGGGCUCGGUGCCGGACUACGGGCAGCGGCUCAAGGCCAAUCUGAAAGGCACCCUGCAGAAAAAGUCAGUGAUGAGCCUCCACAGCUCCCUGAGCCCCAGCCAAGGCCAGGCCGGCUCCAGCAUCUGCAGGCAUCCCUGAGCCAGCGGCUGGGCUCCCUAGAUCCUGGCUGGUUACAGCGAUGUCACAGUGAGGUCCCAGAUUUUCUGGGGGCCCCCAAAGCCUGCAGGCCUGAUCUAGGCUCAGAGGAAUCACAACUUCUGAUCCCUGGUGAGUCGGCUGUCCUUGGUCCUGGUGCUGGCUCCCAGGGCCCAGAGGCUUCAGCCUUCCAAGAAGUCAGCAUCCGUGUGGGGAGCCCCCAGCCCAGCAGCAGUGGAGGCGAGAAGCGGAGAUGGAACGAGGAGCCCUGGGAGAGCCCCGCACAGGUCCAGCAGGAGAGCAGCCAAGCUGGACCCCCAUCGGAGGGGGCUGGGGCUG